rnacentral:rRNA from 1 species
UACGAAGGGGGCUAGCGUUAUCCGGAUUUAUUGGGCGUAAAGCGAGCGCAGGCGGUUGCUUAGGUCUGAUGUGAAGGCCUUCGGCUUAACCGAAGAAGUGCAUCGGAAACCGGGCAACUUGAGUGCAGGAAGAGGACAGUGGAACUCCAUGUGUAGCGGUGGAAUGCGUAGAUAUAUGGAAGAACACCAGUGGCGAAGGCGGCUGUCUGGUCUGCAACUGACGCUGAGGCUCGAAAGCAUGGGUAGCGAACAGG